CAUCAGCCUCGACAGGAAGACAUCUCUCACUGGCCUCGGUCUCAUCAACACCAACAUCUCCACUAUUUUUAUCAACUUAUAUAUGUUGAAAUGCAAUGGGAAGAAAGGGGGAUGGAGGGAUUUCCUUCUGAUUUAACAUCAGAAGAGUUUGUCAUGUUAUAUAUAUUUGCACAUCUUGAUAAAAACAAUGGACUAAAUUAUCUCUCUUUUAUUAAGUUUCCAGAAAGAAAAAAUAGCUAGAAUAAAUUAAUAUUAGAAAUAUUAAUUAUUUUAAUGAGUGACUCUGUUAACAUCAGCUGUGAAUCAUAUUUAUGUUCAGUUACUCUCCUGGUUCCGUUCUUUUUUCACAUUUCCUGGCUUUAACAUGAAAUUAUGUUUUUCAUUUAGCAUGCAUUCAUUUCUACUAAGA